UGGGUAACCUGCCUCAAAGAGGGGAAUAGCCUCCCGAAAGGGAGAUUAAUACCGCAUAAUAUGUUUUAGUCGCAUGACUUAAACAUCAAAGGAUUUUUCUUUUAAGAAAUUCCACUUUGAGAUGGACCCCGCGGCGCAUUAGCUAGUUGGUGAGGUAACGGCUCACCAAGGCAACGAUGCGUAGCCGACCUGAGAGGGUNAUCGGCCACAUUGGAACUGAGACACGGUCCAGACUCCGUAGGG
rnacentral:rRNA from 1 species